rnacentral:rRNA from 1 species
AUCUACAGCCAUGCCACCCUGAAUGCACUCCAUCUCGUCUGAUCUCAGAGGCUAAGCAGGGUCGCGUCUGGUUAGUACUUGGAUGGGAGACCACCUAGGAAGACCAGGUGCUGUAGGCA